CAAAGCACAGUGAGUUGCUUGCAAGUCACUAUGAUGAUCUCAAGUCUGAAGGAUACUUAUAUCCAUGUGUUUCACGAGCAGUUCUUGACAGCAGAAUGCUCAGCAGAUAAGUCACUUGUUCAGUGAUGAUGUACCCCUACAUCUCACCUGUAUGCCAUACCAGUGUCACCAUACUCCUUGAUUAAGAGGACAACCAACCC
rnacentral:lncRNA from 1 species